GAGAUGACUUUUUUGCUCAGAUACCCAAAUUGGGACAAUACAGAGAAGAUUAGCAUGGCCCCUAUACAAGGAUGGCAGGCAAAUUCAUGAAGCAUUCCAUAUUUUU
ensembl:snRNA U6 U6 spliceosomal RNA